GUGCCAGCCGCCGCGGUAAUACCGGCAGCCCGAGUGAUGGCCCCUCUUAUUGGGCCUAAAGCGUCCGUAGCCGGCCUCGCAAGUCCGUCGGGAAAUCCACCUGCCCAACAGGUGGGCGUCCGACGGAAACUGCACAGCUUGGGACCGGAAGGCUCGAAGGGUACGUUCGGGGUAGGAGUGAAAUCCUAUAAUCCCGCACGGACCACCGAUGGCGAAAGCACUUCGAGAAAACGGAUCCGACAGUGAGGGACGAAAGCCAGGGUCUCCAACCGGAUUAGAAACCCCAGUAGUCC
rnacentral:rRNA from 1 species